UGUCAUAUGAUCCCCUGGCUGAAUCAAAGGCUACAUUAAUACUGGUGUCAGGCUAUCUUUGCUACAGCGAGUAAACAGCGGAGGCUUCCAGAAAAGAACUGAGCAUGGCUGAGCCAACAGUGAGCAGGGGAAAACACAUUCAGACCAAGAAUGAGAAUAAGAAGUUCUCCCAAGGAGGAGAGUUGCUUUUACAGGUGCGAGCACUGGAAAGAGAAGGAGAAAAGAAUUCUCUCUGGUUUCUGCGGCUCCCACACAUGAUGGCUGGAGGGCAAUACUUACCCUCCGUGUGUGACCUGAAAAACUCCAAGCCAGAAACUUCCUUUCUAAAGAUCCCAGUUCAUAGCAGCAAAGGGGCCAUGCGGAAGCAAAUGGAAGUUCUCUGGAGGAACAUUCUUCAAACAUGUCUCAAAGCUUCAACACAGAGAAAAUUGUAAGGGAUAUGAGCUCGCAGUGACCAGUUGCUAAAUUCACGAGGAGCUAGGUCACCAGGAGCAAGAGGGAGCAGAGAUAACAAGCUGCAGAGUCAGACAGCGUGGAGACUACAGGAACUGAAGCCUUUGUAUAAUUUAUAUAAAGUGUGUUUGCUUUAAUAUGUUUAAAAAACAAAAGGGGGAUUGAAGGCAUUACAAGGAAAUUAGAGAUUAUAAAAUGAUUAAGCAGAUUUGUAAACAAAA